GUUAAGGACGCGCUGAGUUCCGCACAAAUGGGGAAACGGGGGACCCAUCUUUUUGGGGUGAAUCCGGCUUUUGCCGGUAGGGUUGUAUCUUUUGCCCGAAUCCGUCAGCUAACUUCGUAAGCGCUUACAAGAGAGAAA
rnacentral:sRNA from 2 species